rnacentral:rRNA from 1 species
CGCUCUGGGUUAGUCGGGUCCUAAGCUGAGGCCGACAGGCGUAGGCGAUGGAUAACAGGUUGAUAUUCCUGUACCACCUAGUAUCGUUUUAAUCGAUGGGGGGACGCAGUAGGAUAGGCGAAGCGUGCUGUUGGAGUGCACGUCCAAGCAGUAAGGCUGAGUGUUAGGCAAAUCCGGCACUCAUAAGGCUGAGCUGUGAUGGGGAGAGGAAAUUGUUUCCUCGAGUCGUUGAUUUCACACUGCCGAGAAAAGCCUCUAGAUAGAUAACAGGUGCCCGUACCGCAAACCGACACAGGUAGUCAAGAUGAGAAUUCUAAGGUGAGCGAGCGAACUCUCGUUAAGGAACUCGGCAAAAUGACCCCGUAACUUCGGGAGAAGGGGUGCUCUUUAGGGUUCACGCCCAGAAGAGCCGCAGUGAAUAGGCCCAAGCGACUGUUUAUCAAAAACACAGGUCUCUGCUAAACCGUAAGGUGAUGUAUAGGGGCUGACGCCUGCCCGGUGCUGGAAGGUUAAGAGGAGUGGUUAGCUUCUGCGAAGCUACGAAUCGAAGCCCCAGUAAACGGCGGCCGUAACUAUAACGGUCCUAAGGUAGCGAAAUUCCUUGUCGGGUAAGUUCCGACCCGCACGAAAGGCGUAACGAUUUGGGCACUGUCUCAACGAGAGACUCGGUGAAAUCAUAGUACCUGUGAAGAUGCAGGUUACCCGCGACAGGACGGAAAGACCCCGUGGAGCUUUACUGUAGCCUGAUAUUGAAAUUCGGCACAGCUUGUACAGGAUAGGUAGGAGCCUUUGAAACGUGAGCGCUAGCUUACGUGGAGGCGUUGGUGGGAUACUACCCUAGCUGUGUUGGCUUUCUAACCCGCACCACUUAUCGUGGUGGGAGACAGUGUCAGGCGGGCAGUUUGACUGGGGCGGUCGCCUCCUAAAAGGUAACGGAGGCGCUCAAAGGUUCCCUCAGAAUGGUUGGAAAUCAUUCAUAGAGUGUAAAGGCAUAAGGGAGCUUGACUGCGAGACCUACAAGUCGAGCAGGGUCGAAAGACGGACUUAGUGAUCCGGUGGUUCCGCAUGGAAGGGCCAUCGCUCAACGGAUAAAAGCUACCCCGGGGAUAACAGGCUUAUCUCCCCCAAGAGUUCACAUCGACGGGGAGGUUUGGCACCUCGAUGUCGGCUCAUCGCAUCCUGGGGCUGUAGUCGGUCCCAAGGGUUGGGCUGUUCGCCCAUUAAAGCGGUACGCGAGCUGGGUUCAGAACGUCGUGAGACAGUUCGGUCCCUAUCCGUCGUGGGCGUAGGAAAUUUGAGAGGAGCUGUCCUUAGUACGAGAGGACCGGGAUGGACAUACCUCUGGUGUACCAGUUGUCGUGCCAACGGCAUAGCUGGGUAGCUAUGUAUGGACGGGAUAAGUGCUGAAAGCAUCUAAGCAUGAAGCCCCCCUCAAGAUGAGAUUUCCCAACUUCGGUUAUAAGAUCCCUCGAAGAUGACGAGGUUAAUAGGUUCGAGGUGGAAGCGUGGUGACACGUGGAGCUGACGAAUACUAAUCGAUCGAAGACUUAAUCAAUUUUUUAAA